rnacentral:rRNA from 1 species
CCUACGGGGGGCUGCAGUGGGGAAUAUUGGACAAUGGGGGGAACCCUGAUCCAGCCAUGCCGCGUGUGUGAAGAAGGCCCUCGGGGUGUAAAGCACUUUCAGUGAGGAAGAACGCCUGGUGGUUAAUACCCAUCAGGAAAGACAUCACUCACAGAAGAAGCACCGGCUAACUCCGUGCCAGCAGCCGCGGUAAUACGGAGGGUGCGAGCGUUAAUCGGAAUUACUGGGCGUAAAGCGCGCGUAGGUGGCUUGAUAAGCCGGUUGUGAAAGCCCCGGGCUCAACCUGGGAACGGCAGCCGGAACUGUCAAGCUAGAGUGCAGGAGAGGAAGGUAGAAUUCGCGGUGUAGCGGUGAAAUGCGUAGAGAUCGGGAGGAAUACCAGUGGCGAAGGCGGCCUUCUGGACUGACACUGACACUGAGGUGCGAAAGCGUGGGUAGCAAACAGGAUUAGAUACCCUAGUAGUU